AUUGAACGCUGGCGGCAGGCUUAACACAUGCAAGUCGAGCGGGGGAAGGUAGCUUGCUACCGGACCUAGCGGCGGACGGGUGAGUAAUGCUUAGGAAUCUGCCUAUUAGUGGGGGACAACAUCUCGAAAGGGAUGCUAAUACCGCAUACGUCCUACGGGAGAAAGCUGGGGAUCUUCGGACCUUGCGCUAAUAGAUGAGCCUAAGUCGGAUUAGCUAGUUGGUGGGGUAAAGGCCUACCAAGGCGACGAGCCGUAGCGGGUCUGAGAGGAUGAUCCGCCACACUGGGACUGAGACACGGCCCAGACUCCUACGGGAGGCAGCAGUGGGGAAUAUUGGACAAUGGGGGGAACCCUGAUCCAGCCAUGCCGCGUGUGUGAAGAAGGCCUUAUGGUUGUAAAGCACUUUAAGCGAGGAGGAGGCUACUUUAGUUAAUACCUAGAGAUAGUGGACGUUACUCGCAGAAUAAGCACCGGCUAACUCUGUGCCAGCCGCCGCGGUAA
rnacentral:rRNA from 1 species